UUCUGUUGCUCAUCAGAAAAAUAUAUUUUAUUUCAAAAAUAAUUUCCACAGUGCAUGAGCUGAACAAACGUACCUUUGGGAAGGCAACAAAGCAUGACUUAUUAAAAAAAACAAAAACAAUUAAAAAGUUAUAUAAUUUAAAAUGUUCUUUUACCUUGGUGUGAUUUCAUCGGCGUCAUAAACAAUAAUUAAUCAUUUAAAACAAAUGUCAAUAAGAAGCAACUCAAAAUGAUUUGCAAUAUUCUUUUCUUCAUCAGUGAAGUGUGUUAAAAGUUAGGGUGUUUAAAAAGGGUAAUUGUUUCAAGUUCCAGGCGUGUUAAAGACGAAUUUUAGAAAACAACAUAUAGGUUAGGGUUAAUAUACAGAAAGGUAAAUAUAUAUAUAUUCACGGAACAAAAGAUUAUUACUCAGGUAUCAAAUAAAAACACUUCUUUCACGUUAUUUUCCCUAAGUUAAACAUGAGUUACAACAGACACGAGCAACACAGACACGCCCCCCCCCCCAUAAACACACGCACACAACACCCCUUCACAAAUGCACACACAAAACCACCUCCUCAUACACAACCCCUCCAUUCACACACACACACACACACACACACACACACACACACACACACACACACACACACACACACACACACACACACACACACACACACACACACACACUUUUAGAUGAAAGUAGAGUAAAACAAAUGACGGUAAACCAUGUGCUAAAAUGGUUCUCCACACACACCCACACACUUUUCAAAACAGACCUCAAGGAGUCCUAUUUUUAAACCGUGCUUAUAUGUUCUUGGAUGGUGUAAAUUCACGCAUUAUUUCACGUUUUAAAUUGUUGAUAGCUGCUGAAUAACUUUAGGUAAGGCUUAUUAAUGUAAAAAAAACGUGAGAUCACAUUCAAUAAUGUUGAAUUGUGUUAUUUAAUGCUAGUAAUGUUAUUUAGCGUUAAGUUACGCUAAACAACAUUAAACCACGUUGAAUAGCACUAAAUCCCAUUCAGUCUCUCCAGUGUUGAUAAUUGUUACGUGUCGCUCUGCAGCAGCUGGCCUCUGAUUGGUUCCUUUAGAGGUGCGCCGGAGCUGAUUCGCCGUGCCAGUUCAGAACUCUGACGGGCCGUCUCUGUUCUCGCUCAGCUCCAUGGAGUGGUAGUUCAGCGGCCGCCUGCAGAGGGCGACACAAACACCAAACCGAGCUCACCAUGGCGUUUACAGAGAAGAACAGUGCCACCUUGUUGACCAACCUUGUAACUACAAAAAUAAUUUCGCAACCAUAUGCCAAAAUUGUUUACUUCACUUCCAAGAUAUAUGAGGGAUGAAGAGAGCACGAGAGCGAGAGAAAGAGACUGUGUGGCCACACACAGCUCCAACGUCAUCCUUGAGGUUGCAGGCGACCAGAACACUGUUGAACCUCCGACAACGAUAAGAAAGCCUACUGAGGUCAGUGCCUUUGAAACAUGGUGCCGGGACAAAAACCACCUCUUCGUCAACGUCUGCAAGACUAAGGAGAUGAUUCAGACCUCAGCGAUUUUCCUGUCAAUUUCUGACUCUUAAUAAUUUGAUACUCCUUAUACGUACUUCUGCUUACCACGUCAUCGGGAAUUUCCCUGUUGGAAUGACCCUUUGUUAUACCGUGCAUAAGACAAAUACAACCCGUGGACUCUGAAAGAGAGAGGAGAGAAAGAAAGAAAGAACAAAGGGACAAAGGAUCAAAGGAACGAGAGCGGAAGAGAGUGAGACCGAGAGAAGUGAGGGAGUGCCAGGGAGAGAGUGAGGCUCUACCUUUUCUUGUAGAGGUAUGCGAACAGAGCCGCUACGAGGCCUAGCAACCCCACCAGACCCAGGGCCAGACCGACCCGGAGGCUCAGCGCAGCCUCUGCAACACAACACACAAUAACACUACAUUCAGACCAGAGGGAGCACAAUAACAUUACAUUCAGACCAGAGGGAGCACAAUAACACUACAUUCAGACCAGAGGGAGCACAAUAACAUUACAUUCAGACCAGAGGGAGCACAAUAACAUUACAUUCAGACCAGAGGGACCACAAUAACAUUGCAUUCAGACCAGAGGGACCUCACUAUUAAAAUGCAUUCAGGCUGGCUAACCAGUCUAAUUCGAUUUAUACUAGCCUAUACUAGCCCAGAUCAGACAGGUUAUACCAGACCUUCAAGGCAAGACCAGAUCUGUGGGCGGUAGAAGCUAGAAGGUGAAAAGAUAGUUCGAUAUUAGAUCGGUAAGCAGUAGAGUCGAGAAGGUUAAGAGAUGGUUGGAUUGUAGAUCUGAACGAAGUAGAAUCUAGAAGGUUAUGAGAUGGUUUGAUUGUAGAUCUGUAAGGGGUAGAAGCUUGAAAGUUAAGAGAUGGUUCAAUUGUAGAUAUGUAGGCAGUAGAAGCUAGAAGGUUAAGAGAUGGUAAGAUUGUAGAUCUGUAGGCAGUUUGAUCUAGAAGGUUAGAUUGUAGAUCUGUACAAAGUCGAAUCUAGAAGGUUAAGAGUUGGUUCGAUAUAGAUCUGUAAGGGUUAGAAUCUAGAAGGUUAAGAGUUGGUUCGAUAUAGAUCUGUACGGGGUAGAAGCUGACCGGGGCUGGUGUGGGGGUCCGCGUUGGGGACGGAGCAGCUGCCCUCUCCGUGGGGGGGGGGGAGGUGUGAGGAGGUCUGCAGGAUGAGGGUCUUCUGGUGGGGCGACAGAGCCAUCAUGCUGCCCUUGACCCGGAGCCAGCUCGACACGCACCAGAACUUGAAGCCUAGAGAUGUUGAACCGAAAGCCCGUAGUUCCUUUAAACUCUAUAUAGUGUGUGUGUGUGUGUGUGUGUGUGUGUGUGUGUGUGUGUGUGUGUGUGUGUGUGUGUGUGUGUGUGUGUGUGUGUGUGUGUGUGUGUGUGUACCUUUCCCGAGCAUUUCAGAAUGAAGCCAUUAUGAGAUUUCAGCUUCGCACUUUUUAGUUUCUUUUUGUAAAUGACAUACGUUUGACAGUUGAAGUGGAUAAAAGUAAGAAAGAUAAGCGUACACUGCAGGUAGGUGGCGGUGUGUGUAAACAUUACAUUAUAGAGUAAAU
ensembl:lncRNA